CGGACAACCGUCGUCGUGGCCCGUCCCGGGAAUCCCUUGGCGGUUAUCGCCGCAGUUAUGAUCUUCACCUUCGGGCAGGUGUUUUCAAGCGAGAGUCAGACGGCGGAAUUGUGCGCGGGCGUCGGCCUACUGCCGGACCGCGAUUGCGCCGUGCCGCCUCCCUGCCCUAAAUGCCAAGGUAAGUACCAGCAGUGUCGGGCAUGUGCGGGGAAUCGAGGCUCCAGUAGGGCAAGCCUUGAUUCCCGGCACAUGCCGCUAUUCCAUGCCCAGGCGUCUACAGGCCGCACAACGAUUGUUCUCCUUUUUCCCCCUUAGCCGGAAGCGACCGAAAGCUUCCCGGGACAACCCCUGCAGUUCACUUAUAGGUGCUGUAGCGCACAGCCUCGGCCGGCAACAACA
rnacentral:lncRNA from 1 species